rnacentral:ribozyme from 2 species
AUCUUAACUGUGCCAGUAGCUCCUCCAUGGGCUACUGCCGGUUCCAAGCCCGGAUAAAGGAGGAGGAU